CACCAUUUGCUGACAGGGCUGUAGCUUGUUUCUCCCAGACUAGAUACAGUGGUGGGUCAUUAGACCUUUAAACAGUCAUUUUUUCAGGUGGAAAGGCUAGGGAAACCAGUUCAACCAAGUUUCUCUGCAGGGGACUAGUGAAAUAGAAAGAAGAAAAUUCCCAGCAGCAGAAUAAGGAACCAGGUAUUGUUGGUGAGACAUAAACUCAAGAGAUUCACUGAGACAGAACACUUUGGGGAGGAUUUUUGUAGCAGGAGGGUCUGGUUUAACUGUGGGACUGACCAAGGGCAGAGUAAGUAGCUGACCUAGAGAGGUACUGUGAUUCUGAAGAGAAACCACAAACCAACUGCAAGAGAAGGAUCCUAUCCUAUACUCAAGAACUAUCUGGAGUGGGGAGGAACCUGAAGCAGGGAAAUGCCUAUAGGUUCAAGCCUCCAUCUAGAUCUUCCUCAGGUAUCAGCUUUUGACUCUGGUCCUGCAACUGGAUAUGUGCGUGAAGAGCUGUAAAAACAGACGUGAGGCAAGCUGUAGGAGAAGGCACUGCAGGAUGAGUCAAAAAUGGCUGCAUGUAGAUUUUCCAUGUCAAAGGUUCAGAUGUGGAUCUCAGAGAAUCCCUGCAUCUCUUCUUGCCUACAAACGGGUUCUACUCCCUUCCUUGGAAGAAGCUGUGCAUCCUUCUUGGAAGAAGCUGUGCGAAGACAACUGUAGUUUUAAAUCACUGCUCAAACCCAGCACAUUCUGGGGAGACUGUCAAUUCACAACUUGUCCCCAGCCCUACAGCCAUAUAUAGCGAUUGAGACCAUCAGAAUGAUGUUGUGGGAUGCACCUGAGCAUGAUCAAGGCCACAACUUUGCUCCAUCAGGGACAGGUUCUUCCCUGUCUGUGGGUAAGCCUGCAGUAGAAAUGCUACAGUGCCACAGCGGAAGAUGUUCUUCUGUUGCUGUGGUAAAUCCACCUCUCCGAGAGGCACUUGCUAGGUCGACAGAAGAAUUCUUCCAUUGACCUAUCAGGGUCUACACCACGGCUUAGGUCAGCUUAAUAACGUUGCACAGGGCAUGACAUUUUUCACAGCCCUGAGCAAUGUAGUUAAGCUGACCUAACAAUGUAAUGUAGAGCAGGCCUGACAUUCAGUUGGGGGAAUAUUCUUAAAAGGGCUUGUGGUCUAAUGCAGCUCUCCCUGGAGCAAAGUCCAAAAGAGAGCUCAGUGAGGGAGACAAAGAGGGGGCCACUGGGCUGAACAUGGUAGUUGGUGGGAAAGAAGCAUCCUUCACACCUCUUGUUUUGGAUUCCCCAUUGUCCAAAUUAAACCAUACCUUAAAACCUUCUCAAGUGAUAUCAAUAGGAAAGGGGGGCCUCUUUGUGAGAUGCAUGAGCAAUGUAUCUAGAGAGGAGAGCACAGUUUAGUCACCAUUUCAAUUUGGAUUUGCUAAAAGAGCUAGCAAAGAGAAACCAAUUCCCGUCUCAAAUAUUGGGAACUAGAUUGACAUUAGCAUCUGUACUGUGUUAAAUACAGUAUCUUGAUUGUUAUCACCUAUAGUAAGCUCUCUAGGCAGGGAACUGUCUUUAUAUGUAUUUUACAGUAGCUAGUACAACUGGGACCUGAUCCUGAGUGGGGACUCUGACGGAGAACAUAAUGUGCAUAAUAACAAUACUGAUAUAACAAUAAUAAAUCAGGACUAACAGCCAAGCACACACCAUCCUUUGGAAAGAACAAAAGCCAUAAGUCUAUAAAGAAAACAUUUCAAAAGUAAAUGUUUGCAUCAAACUGUAAUAACUUCAAUUCAGAAGCUGUUCAGGAAAGGAAAAAUAGACCAGUGGAAAUCUGCUUCUGCCAAAAUAUAUUGACACAGGAGUUCCUCAGGAUGUUAUUACUCUACCUUCUGCUUUUGUGUAGAUUGCAAUGUUCCCAUUAACCAGACCAGCAAACAAGUACUGCGACAGAUACGUUAGGCUCAUAACCGUUGAUUUUUCUGGGGUGAAGAAGUGCUGAAGUCGGACUUUCUUUGAGCCUUGAUGACUCUUGUAAAUAGAAAUGCUACCAAAAAAAAAAACCACAUGAGAAAAAUGUAAAUAUGUCUUGUUCA